CUAGCGAGACUGCCGGUAAUAAACCGGAGGAAGGUCGGGGAUGACGUCAAAUCAUCAUGCCCCUUAUGACCUGGGCUACACACGUGCUACAAUGGUUGGUACAACGAGUUGCGAGUCGGUGACGGCGAGCUAACCUCUUAAAGCCAAUCUCAGUUCGGAUUGUAGGCUGCAACUCGCCUACAUGAAGUCGGAAUCGCUAGUAAUCGCGGAUCAGCACGCCGCGGUGAAUACGUUCCCGGGCCUU
rnacentral:rRNA from 1 species